GAGAGCAGGAGGCUUGAAGAAACCGCCAAGGAAGGACGGCCUCCAGAGUAGCAAAAGCGGGGGGGCGGGGGGGGAGCAGGAUUCGGGCUGAAGGCCCUGAGGGCCCGGCCGGAGCGCAUCCCUCUGCUUCUGGCGCUCACGGCAGCCCGGCAGUGGGGGGCUGUCAGGAGCCUCUGUGGGCGGCAGGGAAGGAGCUGGAGGAAGCAGCGCGGAGGCAGACACGGAGCAGGGGCGUGCGGACCACGGGCAGGUCGGGGGCAAACAGGAGCGAGCUGGGGCAAGGCCUUCUCCCUCCAUCCAGAACCUGGAGCCCGGACCUGAAUGCCUUCCAGAGAUGUGGGGUCCAGGAGACAGAGGCCAGGCAGAAGACAUCUGGGAACCAGAGGUACUUCUCCAGGGCCCCAGACCACCUCUGAGACCUGCCAGAACCACAGGAAGCCGCCUCUGGUGUGUCGUCCUGUAAGGGGAAGGGCACUGAGUGCUUGUGAAGUCCUGUCCAAUUCAGGAAACAGACACGAGGCCAGAAGAGGAGCCGCAGGAGAAUGAAAGCCACAGGGAAGGCUGGCAGAAGGGACUGCAGCAGUACCAGUGGCUGCUCGUGCUCCACAUCGUGCUGCACGAUGGCCAGAUUGCUUUGCAAAGUGAGAUGAAAGUUUUUGGAAUCCAGUUUUUUGUGACACACAGCAGACUGCAAUGCCUAUGUGAUGUACAGCCCUACUCCCGGACUUUUUGUUUACAGUAGCCAAUCAAUCCCCUUUUUGCUUCUCCUGGUUUGGGUUUUCUGUCCCUUUUAACAGAAGAAAUUUAAUUUUUGGCUCUGAGGUCUUGUGUUUACUCAGCAGGCAUAUAACUUUUUCUCGUGUCUGUGAGACAAGGCUGCCCAGCAUCCCUACCCCCACUGACAUUCCUCUCAGAAAUGCUGUUGGAAGGACAAAAACAUUACCCUCUGGCCCUGGGCCCUUCUAGAACCUUCUCUGAGAUACACAGUCCUUGGCCCCAUUACCUCAUCCUUUGGAACAGAUUAAAAGCCUCCUGUGCUGGAGGACAGGGGGAACCUGACAAGCCGGGGGUGAGCGAAAGCGCGGAAUUCUCCACAGAGACUCCACAGCGCUGCUCAUCCUGAGAGUUUCCCGUGGCCAGCGAAGCCGGCCAAGGCCACAGCUCCUCUGCCAGGGGAAAACGAGCCACAGCACGCAGAAGGGCUGUGCCACUGAGAUGCCAUUGCAUACAGAGCACAGAAAGCUGCCAUAGAGGAAGACCCGCUGAGGGCCGCCCCGGGGGGGAGGUGAUUCUGACGACUGGGCUCAGAACCCUUGCCGGCUUUGUGUCCACGCCUCAGGGUAUGUUAGGCCCUGUGCCGAGCUGCUGAACUAGACAUCAAGAGGCUGGUGAAGGAACAUAGCACCGGAGCAAAAGGUGGUCUGAAGGGAUGCACUCUCCAAGAGGUGAAUGAAUACUCUUGCUCUCGUAAAGUCGGCCUCCUCACACCAGGAGCCCGGCAGGAGAAGAGUUCUUGCACAGAGGUUUAAGGGCAGGCCCCGGGGCUGCCCUGCCUGGGCUCCAGUUCUGAUCCACCCCAAGGAACAGGGAGGCCUUAGGCACAUGGGGCCGCAGGUUCCUCACCUGUAGGGCCAUCAGAGAAGAAAAAAAACUGUACUUAUCUGUCAGGGUUGUGAGGGUUAAAUGAGAUAACGUGUGUGAUGUCCUUAACCCAGAGCCUGACACACAGGAAGUGUACAUUACAUUUAAGCCAUUAUGAUUAACAGUAACAGAAGGCAUCAGGACGAGUCAGUACAUGGCCCAGCUGCCUUCUAAGUUCCUAGUGGCUUCAACUUCAUCUCUCCAUCUCUGGACCCAUGCUUCCUCCUCUGCAAAGUAAGAGUUGAACCAAAAGUAGUCUCUUCUGCUAGAGAUCUCUGAAACUCUUGAAGGAAUGGCUGAGCUCUUCCCUGCUAAGCAGCAGCAGCUGCUUUGAAACACUGAAUUUGCAAAGCCUCUGUAAACUACACCUCCUCUGGGGAACUCCUAGCCGAGAGGGCAGGCUGCUGAGUGACAGAGCGCUUUCAAGAUGUUUGGCUGGGGCUCUGCUGACUCAGAAGAAACAAUGAGCCCAGUUCUCAGUCCUAAAGUUAGAGAAGCCCUCUGAUGGUCCCCAGAGAGGAAGGUCUCAGGAAGCUCAUGGGAGGGGCCAGGGCUUCCAUAGAAUUCUAGAAUGUCAACAUUGGAAAAGCUCUUAGGGGGUUUCUAGUUCACUCACAUUUUGUGAGUGCUUCCACAGUUCCACAAACUAUUAAUAUUCCUCUCAUUUUGUAUACCUCAAACUAUAUUUAAAGUUGUGACUGAUAAGCAUCAAAGACACCAAAAGUGGUCACCCAUUAAAUUUCAAAACAUGAGAAACCAAAGUCCAUUAAUAGGUGUGACAGAUUCUGCUCAUUGUCUCCUAAAUCUACGCUUCCCUUUUUCCUGUGUUGGGGGGACUACAGUUGGGUGGUCCAUGGCCGCCCAAAUUAAAGACAACCCUCAGUUUUUGAUCAAUGGGAUAUAAAUAAAGGUUGUGGGUGCUACUUCUGGUGGGUUCCUUAAAGUGAGGGAUGUGCCCUUCUUCUCCUACCUACUUUUUCUGGCUUUAAUGUAGAUGGAGCUCAGUUAGGACUUUGAAUUGGAAGUUUUGUGUUGAAGGUGGUGGACAAAGAAGGAGCCUUGGGUCCCUGAUGAUCACUGAGUUCUUAUUUACCUACAUAGAGUGUCCUGGACUGUUCACCCCCAGACCUCAUUUACAUGAAAGAAACAUAAACUUCUAUCUUGUUUAAGCCACUUUUAUUUUGGAGUUUCUGCAUUUUACACCUAAACCUAAUUGACGCAUUUGUGUUCUCAGUGAUCGAUUUUGUAACAUAUUAGUAAUAUUUUUGUAGUUUACUGUAAUAUUCUAAGGAA